UGAAGUCUUACACACAGCACAAAGAGCCAGCAUGUGUUCUCUUCUCAUCAUAUUUUCAGCCACACUAUUAUGCCUUGCAGGCUCCGCUGUCUGCUCUGUCAUCCAGAAUCCUCCUGAUCUCAUAAAGUAUCAAGACGAGUUUGUUGAGAUGAAAUGUGCACACACUGUAAAGAACUAUGAUCGUGUACUGUGGUACAAACACAGCCAGGACACAGGAUUUAAAUACAUGGGGUAUCUAAAUAAUGUUAUACCAAACCUAGAGGCAGAAUUUGAAACGAAGAUCAAACUGAAUGGUGAUGGAAGAAACAACAACACUUUGACUCUUAGCAGUCUGUCCGUGAGCGACAGUGCUGUGUAUUACUGUGCAGCUUAUCACACAGUGCUGUAGAUCAGCUCACUUACUUACAAAAACCUUCAUCUGAUCCACGUUACCCCAAAACCACAACACCUGCAGCUGUGGCUGGAUGUU